UGGCGGAUGUACACGGAUUCGAACCGCGGACCAAUCACUUAACGGGCGACCGCUCUACCAGCUGAGCUAUACAUCC
rnacentral:tRNA from 1 species